UACGAAGGGGGCUAGCGUUGCUCGGAAUUACUGGGCGUAGAGGGAGCGUAGGCGGACAGUUUAGUCAGAGGUGAAAGCCCAGAGCUCAACCUUGGAAUUGCCUUUGAUACUGACUGUCUUGAGUAUGGGAGAGGUUAGCGGAACUCCGAGUGUAGAGGUGAAAUUCGUAGAUAUUCGGAAGAACACCAGUGGCGAAGGCGGCUAUCUGGACCAGUACUGACGCUGAGGCUCGAAAGCGUGGGGAGCAAACAGG
rnacentral:rRNA from 1 species